rnacentral:lncRNA from 1 species
GAGCAAGUUGGGCUUUUGGAUUGACUAAUGUAAUUGCAGCUGGUUUCUGCCAAAUACAAAUUACUCAGUCUAGUGUGGGCUAGGGAGAAAAGCAAAUAUUUAAUAGACAUCAAUACCCUUGUAGCUUUUUAGUGGAGCCUUUUUUUCCCCUAUGGAAAGUUGAAGUAAUUUCUCCAGCAUCUGAUUGAACUUUCAUGUUGGGGAAUUACUUUUUAAUCAUUUUUUUAAAAAAUAAUGAGACAAAGGCUUUAGUGACUCUGUUGGGUUUUAUCUCUGAUCCAUUUGCCCCUAAGCUUGGGAAACUCACGGGACUUUUACCCGUCCAGCCUGGCUCCCCACAAUCCCUUUCUGCGUGGGCUAGUCCAGCAACUGCGAAUCGGUCUGCGUCACAAAUUGUCACAGCCGAAAGGGGCCUGAGAGAUCAUCUAGUUCAGUAGUUCUCCAAGUGUAUUCCUGGGCCGGAAGCACUGGCCACACCUGGGAACUUGUUAGAAAUGCAUAUUCUCAGGCCUACUGAAUCAGAAGCUCUGGGGUUAGGGCCCAGCAAACUGUGUUUUAACAAACCCUCCAGGUGGUUCUGAUGGAGGCUGAACUUGAGAACCACUGAUCUAGUUCAAGCAUUUCAUUUUACAAAUGAGGAAACUGGGGCCUGGAAAGAGUCUAUGCUUCUGGUCACAGCAGGGACUGUGCCUGUUUCACUCAUUGUGCAUCCCCCAACACACAGGGCCUGGCUUGUGGUAAGCACUCAGUAAAUCUUUGCUGAAUAGAUGAAUAAGGGAAUGAAUAAGCCAGAACUAGAAACAACAUCUCUGAGUCCUAACUCACUCCACCAGAGCUUUCUCUUGCCCCAGGGAAGGAUGGAGGCAUGGGGGAAGAACUGCUUCUUGGUUCUUGCUUUGUGAGAGGCUUGAAGCAUUGUAUCUGUGGCCUGUCCUGUAGGAGGAUGGCAGCUCUACCGCCAAGGUCUUGCUCCCCAGCCACGGGCCAGUCUUGUUCACUGUCCCUGCACCAGUAGUUUGACCAAGCCCAUGCCCCACUAGGAAUUGUGUCUGUUGCUUUCAUAGAUCCUGUCACUGUCUGAGGCAUAAUCAGGCCCCCUGCCUAGGUCUUAGAUUCCCUGACCAAUAAGCUCAGCUCAGAGAGUGAAUGGGGAGAAUUAAAGUGAGAUCCAAUUCAUGAAAAAAGAGAUUUCUAAGGCAAGGGUCCUAGGAAGGUGGGUCUUCAGGUUCAGUUACUGGGUCCUGUGAAGCCAAGGAGGAGGGGGUGGGGAGAGGGAGGGAGAGAGGGAGAGGAAGAGAGGAGAGAGAGACAGAGAGAGAGAGAGAGAGAAAGAGAGAGAGAGAGUCGGUCCUCAAAGUUUUUAGUUGCAGACAUGUAGAGCCAUGUUGCCUGGAUCUGGGUGGCGUACCCCUGGCUGCCUUGGUCCCCCAGCCCUGGCCUGCUGACCCUCUCUGAAAUGAGAAGAAGGGGAAGGCAAACAGGAUUCAAGAGUUUUUAAACAAAAAAGGAGAUCUCCCAGGGCAUGAGUGACAGGCUUCUGAGAAGGUUCCUGGGUCCCUGAUCCUGUUACAUUCUAUGAACUAACUACGCAACUGAAAGUAUCAAUCCACAUGGAUCCAACCACUCAAGGAGCUUAUGUUCUUCGAACCUCAAGUUCAAAUGGCUCUCACGCCAUACUGCUACCCAAGUGCCUUAUCUUUGAUUGUCUACAUGCCUAUAGUCCCCACAGAAGAGCAGAGUGAUCUUUCCAAUGUUGAUAGAAAACUCUUUGGAUACUCAAUGCCUUCAUAGUUAUUGCCACACUUCCCUGAGACCUAUCCUUAGGAAAGAACUUGAUAAACUCAUUCACUUACAGGUGGUAGCAACCAGUAAGAGCUGCCUUUUCCAUCCCCAUGGAAGAUUUAAGCUGAUGAUUUCAUACCUUAGUGCUAGCUAUUAAUUCCUAACUUGUGGUUGACUAACCCACAACUUCUUCUCUGGGCCCUGCAUAUUUUGUAUUUUUUCAUGCUCUUUGGGGCUCCCAGUAGAGGGAUAAAGAGAUUCCUAGUUGCAGACAGAUUCUUAACUUUAUGUGUUCUUGAGUUAAAGAGCUCUAUUGUAAAGGGUAACUUUACUAACAGAUAAUUAUUGGGCACCUACUGGGGCAAGGCAAUGUUCUAGAUGCUGACAGUGAAAAAAGACAGAUGAGGUUCCUGCAUCCAUGGGUUUACAUUCUAGAUCAAGGAAAUGGAAAAUAAACAAGUUAACAAAUAAGUGAGGAACAUAACUUCCAAAGGCAAGAAGUGCUGUGAAAACAAUAAAGCGGGAUGAAGUAGAGUGACUUUAGGAGCCAAGUUAGAUGUGUUCCUCGGGGAAAGCCUCUCUAAGGAGGUGCCAUUUGAGCUAACUGAACAGGAAGGAGCCAGGUCUGUAGUCGGGGGUGAACUUAGUGUGUUCAGAAACAGAGGCCUGUGUGGCUAGAUGUGCAUGUCCUUGAGAAGAGCAAUCUUAGGGGAGGGUUGGGGGCAGGUGGCAGACUAUGACAACAUCCUUAGUUCUUUGCAAUUGUUUUAUGAUGAAGGGAAGCAGGUAAAUGGGCUGGAAACUGGAGGAGGUAAUCAAGUUCAAGGGAGGAAUCUGUUGUGGUGAUCUGGUUUGUGUGUCUGUGUGUGUGCUUUGUUUUUUGUUUUUGAGACAGAGUUUUGCUCUUAUUGCCCAGGCUGGAGUGCAAAGGCACGAUCUCAGCUCACCACAAUUACCGCCUCCCAGGUUCAAGUGAUUCUUCCGCCUCAGCCUCCCGAGUAGCUGGGAUUACAGGUAUGCAUCACCACACCCAGCUAAUUUUGUAUUUUUAGUUGAGACGGGUUUCACCAUGUUGGUCAGGCUGGUCUCGAACUCCCGACCUCAGGUGAUCCACCCGCCUCAGCCUCCGAAAGUGCUGGGAUUACAGGCGUGAGCCACCGCAGCUGGCCAGGUUUGUGUGUUUUUAUGGAAGAGGGUUGGAUGUUGAUAGGGAUGAUCAACACACGUUCCUAUGUGAGAACUCCCAACCCUGACCCUCCUACCCUCCGUGGAAGGGCCAGGCAACUGACAAAGACCCCCACCUACUGCUCCUUCAUCCCUGCAUGCUGCCUACACCGGCAGACACUCAGAGAAGACUUUCAACCCCCUAUUUGUGCUGACUGCACACCAUCUUGAGCUGCAGUAGAUAUUGGGGUCACCUUGGAGCCCCAGUCCUUGCAGAGACUUUCCCAGCUGAAUCUUAUUAUGUCUAC